AAGUAAUCAUAGAUUUCAGCCCUACAUUUGUAUUUACAUUUGCUGUUUGAUCUGGAUAUAGUACUUGUUUUCUUCCUCUAGGAUCUGUAAAAGCAAAGAGUGUCUUCAUAUUUCAUUGAAGCACCGUGUGUAAGAUUUGACCCCUGGACUUGAGAAUUGAGUGCAGCAAUCGUAUGAACUAAAGAAAGGAGAUACAAUGAACCCGUGGAUAUUCUUCUCAUGUGACAUUUAUUCUGAAUGAAGCAUUAGGGCAGCAAAUAGUUUGUAACUUAAUAAACCACCUACACUCAGGACCUGGUGCAAUGGAUCUAAUUCGUAGGUUCAAUGGCACAAGCAAGUUCAUCUAGGCUAUGCACAACAGAACUCAAACCUGGCUGUCUGAACCCUGGUCCAUCUUCACAGCCAAUGUGCACUACUAUCCUCCUCCUCAUCAGCAUCAUCAGUAAUGAGGACAGGAUAGUAGGACACCGACACGUUUCAUUCUAUUACCAUGAAGUUGCCUUGAACAGAUGCAGUUGAAGUACACAAUGAAGAGUACUGGUACUCUGAUUUCCAGUUCCAUAGUCCCUGGGAGGUAAAUGAAAACCAGUACAUUAAAGUAUCAAAAGAAUGAAAAAAAAAAAACUUAAUGCACAAUUGUAAUUUUCAUCUGAUCUAAAUAAACAUUUAAUAUUGAACACUGAUGAUAGUGUUGCAAAGAAGUCCCAUUGUGAAAUUUGUAAAGGAGAAUUUUAAGUAGCAUUUGUAUCAGCAUGCUAUGUCCCAUACGAAAUUUUCUUCUUUGACGCCACACAUUUAAAUACAUAGACUCUAAUAUAUAUUCAAAAACAGGGGGCUGGGGAUUUAGCUCAGCGGCAAAAGCGCCUGCCUGGCAAGCGCAAGGUCGUGAGUUCAGUUCCUGGUACCGGAGAAAAAUCAAAAAAAAAAAAAAAAAAAAAACCAAAAAAAAAAAAAACAGUCUGAAGGUUAUGUACAUUUAAUUACAUAUAUGUAUAUAUACAUACACAAGCAUAUACAUGUAUAAAAUUGAUGGGCAAUGAAGGCACAGAUCACAAUUUAUUAGUUCCAUAGGCCUCAAUUUGAAAAUUGUUAAUGAUUUCUAGAGCACCUUUUGGCCACGGAGUUCAUUCUCAUAUUUCACAACAGAAAUUUAUGACAUAAAGGUCCUGUGAAUAAUUUAGUACUCAUUAGUCAGUCUUAGACUGCUGACAAAAAUAAAUCUUUAGUAUCAACUCAAUUAAGUUAUUUUACUCCUCAUUUGUUUAAAUACCAAAAUUUUCUUUUUUCGUGAUUGUUGUGUUUUAUAGGAAUUUAUUUGAAGAUACUUCAGAAACUAACAAGUAUUUUUCAACUAGUUAUUUGAAUCUACUUUCAGACUAUGCUCAGUGACUGAAGUGGUUUUUUUCUGUGUACUAGCCUUUUUGGGCAGGUAAGAAACAGCACCUGAUUUCAGAAAUUACUUUUAUGUAAAUUGCACCAGGUCCUUAUUUAUAACUGCUUGAGUUGUUCUACCAACACCUAAAUCUCUCUCAGCCUUCCCUAAAAAAGCUAUCUAAAAUUCAUCAUCUCAGCUCACCCACUUUCACAUUCAUAUUUUAAUUUUCCUCUCUCUCAUGGCUAACUAUCAUUAUUCAACUUAGUGAAUUUCC
rnacentral:lncRNA from 1 species